UACGGAGGGUGCAAGCGUUUAAUCGGAAUUACUGGGCGUAAAGCGUGCGUAGGCGGUUCGUUAAGUCUGUUGUGAAAGCCCCGGGCUCAACCUGGGAAUGGCAAUGGAUACUGGCGAGCUAGAGUGUGUCAGAGGAUGGUGGAAUUCCCGGUGUAGCGGUGAAAUGCGUAGAGAUCGGGAGGAACACCAGUGGCGAAGGCGACACACUGGGCCAUUACUGACGCUGAGGCGACGAAAGCGUGGGGAGCAAACAGG
rnacentral:rRNA from 1 species